rnacentral:rRNA from 1 species
AGGGUUUGAUCCUGGCUCAGAACGUACGCUGGCGGCACGCCUAACACAUGCAAGUCGAACGAAGUAGCAAUACUUAGUGGCAGACGGGUGAGUAACAUGUAGGUAUCUACCCUAUGGCCUGGAAUAACACGAGGAAACUUGUGCUAAUACUGGAUAAGUCUUUACGGAGAAAGCUUUAUGCACCAUUGGAUGAGCCUGCACUUGAUUAGUUUGUUGGUGGGGUAAUGGCCUACCAAGACUUUGAUCAAUAGCUGAUUUGAGAGGAUGAUCAGCCACAUUGGGACUGAGACACGGCCCAAACUCCUACGGGAGGCAGCAGUGGGGAAUCUUGCACAAUGGAGGAAACUCUGAUGCAGCGAUGCCGCGUGAGUGAAGAAGGCCCUUGGGUUGUAAAGCUCUUUCGUCGGGGAAGAAAAUGACUGUACCCGAAUAAGAAGGUCCGGCUAACUUCGUGCCAGCAGCCGCGGUAAUACGAAGGGACCUAGCGUAGUUCGGAAUUACUGGGCUUAAAGAGUUCGUACGUGGUUGAAAAAGUUGGUGGUGAAAUCCCAGAGCUUAACUCUGGAACUGCCAUCAAAACUUUUCAGCUGGAGUUUGAUAGAGGAAAGCAGAAUUUCUAGUGUAGAGGUGAAAUUCGUAGAUAUUAGAAAGAUA